CUAGCCUCGCCGCCGGUGAAACAUCUCCACCGCCGCCAGAUUCGAGGAAAACACCAGAGGAGAUCCCUGUGAGUCGCUGGACUACGUUCAUGAACUCAGACGCGGUUGCGUGUACAACCUUGGGGGAU